rnacentral:rRNA from 1 species
GACGAACGCUGGCGGCGUGCCUAAUACAUGCAAGUCGAACGCAGUGGGGACGGGUGAGUAACACGUGGGUAACCUCCCAUCAGAGGGGAUAACACUUGGAAACAGGUGCUAAACCGAUACUGAUGGAUGGACCCGCGGUGCAUUAGCUAGUUGGUGAGGUAACGGCUCACCAAGGCCACGAUGCAUAGCCGACCUGAGAGGGGGAUCGGCAACACUGGGACUGAGCAACGGCCCAGACUCUGAGGGGAGGCAGCAGGAGGGAAUCUUCGGCAAUGGAAGAAAGGCUGACCGAGCAACGCCGGGUGAGUGAAGAAGGUUUGCGGAUCGUAAAACUCUGUUGUUAGAGAAGCGGUAUCUAACCAGAAAGCCACGGCUAACUCCGUGCCAGCAGCCGCGGAAUUC